AGAGUUUGAUCAUGGCUCAGAUUGAACGCUGGUGGCGUGCUUAACACAUGCAAGUCGAGCGAGAAAGUUCUCUUCGGAGAACGAGUAGAGCGGCGCACGGGUGAGUAACGCGUGGAUGAUCUACCUUCGGGAACGGGAUAACGGAUGGAAACGCCCGCUAAUACCGUAUGGUCUUCAUAUUUGGCUUUAUGAGGUAAAGGUGGCCUCUACAUGUAAGCUACCGCCUGGAGAUGAGUCCGCGUCUCAUUAGCUUGUUGGUGGGGUAACGGCCUACCAAGGCGACGAUGAGUAGCCGGCCUGAGAGGGUGGCCGGCCACACUGGAACUGGAACACGGUCCAGACUCCUACGGGAGGCAGCAGUGGGGAAUAUUGCGCAAUGGGGGAAACCCUGACGCAGCGACGCCACGUGAGGGAUGAAGGCUUUCGGGUCGUAAACCUCUGUCAGGAGGGAAGAACCGCUUUGAGUCGAAUAGGCUCAGGGCCUGACGGUACCUCCAGAGGAAGCACCGGCUAACUCCGUGCCAGCAGCCGCGGUAACACGGAGGGUGCGAGCGUUAAUCGGAAUCACUGGGCGUAAAGCGUACGUAGGCGGCUUUGCAAGUCAGGGGUGAAAUCCCUCGGCUCAACCGAGGAACUGCCUUUGAAACUGCAUGGCUUGAGUAUCGGAGAGGCAGGCGGAACUCCGGGUGUAGGAGUGAAAUCCGUAGAUAUCCGGAGGAACACCAGUGGCGAAGGCGGCCUGCUGGACGAAUACUGACGCUGAGGUACGAAAGCGUGGGGAGCAAACAGGAUUAGAUACCCUGGUAGUCCA
rnacentral:rRNA from 1 species